UUUCAAGAACGUCCUCAUCCAGUUUGCAACCUAUACUUUUUUAGCACAUCAUUUUUCAUAAGCCUUUUUAUCUUAACAGUUGUUGUGCAUGAUUUCAUUCCAUCGCUGCAGUUGUUCCAUAUUCUCACUCCUUUACAUGUAAUGCAAUGAUAUACUUUGAAUUGGUGCUUAUCGUAGGUGUUUUCAGUACACAUAUACCUCGUUAUCACAUUCUCGGUGACUAAUUCUCCUCUCUGACCUACUCUGCUCCUCCUCCUCACCCUUUGCUGAACUCAGGAACUGAGGCUUGUUUUAACAGAGGAGAUAAACGGGCGAGAUCUUCGUUUCCAUUACCUAUAGCUCUUCAAAGUACUUCAGACAUGUUGUCGAGAGUCUAUGAACAUUUGUGCUUCUAUUUGUAAAAUAUAUGGAGAAAAUAAACCUCUUACAGAACCUACAUUCUUUUCAUCUGUAUCUGUCUUUCCUCCCAAUAAAUGCAGAUGACUGACAAACAUGAA